CGUAAAGUGUUCUCGCGAGAUUUCGGGCCCACUAUUAGCUGGGUGGUGCGAUGGGCCAUCCUUUUCUUUCGAGAGGCUGUGGAGAUAAUAGCUGUUUAUGUUAGCAUUUGUUCGGAGAAGCCACAUCAUGUUUGCCGAGUUGUCGGAAAUCUGAAGCAAGUAAUAAGUGAUGAGUAAUUUGGAGAGGGGCUUGGAGAAUACAUAACAGGAAUGAAUUCUCUGAAUCCUAUAAUGGCAUCUGAUUCAGCUGUGGAAAUUGAAAAUCACAGUGAUAAUUCUUCAUCUGGUAGCAGCUUAUUUAAAACUCAGUGUGUCCCUUCCUCACCUAAACCGAGGCAAAGAAACCCUAUCAGAAAAUUUGUUUAUUCACCUGAAAGUGUUCAAGCAAAGGAUUCCUCUAGUGAUUCAUCUUUAGAACCAAGACCAUUGACUUUAAAAGCUAUUUUUGAAAGAUUCAAAAAAAAGAAACGUAAAAAGAGGAAAUACAAGCCAACAGGAAGACCAAGGGGAAGACCAAAAGGAAGAAAAAAUACUAGACGCUCCCAAAUAAAUAGGAAACAAGUUAGAGACAAAGGAUCUGGGUUCCCAUUUUUAGAAUCAGAGAAUGAAAGAAAACCACUACCUUGGAGGAAGAUUUUAACCUUUGAGCAAGCAGUGGCAAGAGGAUUUUUCAACUACCUUGAAAAGCUGAAGUAUGAAUACUACCUCAAGGAAUCCUUGAAACAAAUGAAUGUUGGUGAAGAUUUAGAAAAAGAAGACUUUGACAGUCGUAGAUAUAAAUACUUGGAUGAUGAUGGAUCUCUCUCUCCUAUUGAGUCAGAAGCAGAGGAUGAUCUUGCAACAAAUCUUGAACAUGAUGAUGAAUGUGAUAUCAAAUUGGUGGACCAUAAUUAUUUCAUAGUAAGUUCUGAAGUACCAAAGAAGAAGAAUGUGUAUUUAGAACAAGAGGAAUAUACUGAAGAAGCAGCUGUGUCUAAAAGGAGGACAUCAAGGUCCAAAAACAUUGGACAGAGGAUAGAAUGGUCUGAAAAGGAGAUAGGAAUAUGAAUGUUAAGGCUUUUCAUUUGAGAGCACAAUGUCUGGACUUAAAGGUAUUGGAGUAUCCCAAGAAUCUGUAUAGUUCAGGGCGUGCUAGUUUAGGUAAGUUUUUGUUGGAGACAGUGUAAUCUUGGGGGCACCGUUACAGUUCACAUGAUGAAUUUAACUGUUCAACUGCUGAAUGAUUACAGACAUGAACUGAAACUUGAUUCUGACGGAGCUGACGAUAGCUUAAAAAAAAAACAAACCCAUGGUUGUCAAUUUGGAUGCUAAGCACCUAUUUUAGAUUUUAAUCACACAUUUAAAUUGUUCUUAAUCUUUUAUUUGGUAUUUUAUCUGUAGGGGUGAAUAUGAUUUGAACUCAUUUACAUUUAGAGGGUGUUUGAAAUUGAGAACCAGGGGUCCAUCUAGUCUGACCCUAAACAUGAUAGGACUGAUGGUGACAACUGUGGAUUGAACAAAAAGCUCCUUUUAAAAGGGCUAUUUUGAAGAAUGUGAUUCUGACUCGGAGGAACGACAGUGCUUGGGAGUGGAAGGAAUCCCAUGUUAAAAUUCUUAAAUAAAAAUUUAUUGACUUUAAAUAA